UAGAUGGGAUUUACAUCUGAAAAACCAAGUGAGAAACUGAAGACCAGAGAGGGUGAGUGGUUUACCCAGUUUGGCACAACUGACCCCAACCUAGCCCUCCAUGAGGACUGAGCACAUGAGAGAUCCUGAGCCACAGCCACCCAGCCCUGCUCCUCUCGAAUUUCUGACCUACAGGAAGUGCAAGAAGUAAUGAAAGACUGCUGUUUAAAGCCACUGCAUUUUGGCAUGAUUUGUUAUGCAGUCAUAGAUAACCAGAAAACAUCGGAUUUACAUUUUAAGGAAACAGAGAAGCAAAGAAGUUAGCAAGCUUGUUUUGGCAGAAGAAAAAACACAAAAUGCCCAACCACAGAUCCUC
rnacentral:lncRNA from 1 species